AUCUGUGUGGUGUAGUCGGUUAUCAUGCUAGUCUUACACACUAAGAGGUCCCCGGUUUGAACCCGGGCUCAGACA